CCUACGGGGGGCAGCAGUGGGGAAUAUUGCACAAUGGGCGCAAGCCUGAUGCAGCCAUGCCGCGUGUGUGAAGAAGGCCUUCGGGUUGUAAAGCACUUUCAGCGGGGAGGAAGGCGGUGAGGUUAAUAACCUCAUCGAUUGACGUUACCCGCAGAAGAAGCACCGGCUAACUCCGUGCCAGCGGCCGCGGUAAUACGGAGGGUGCAAGCGUUAAUCGGAAUUACUGGGCGUAAAGCGCACGCAGGCGGUCUGUCAAGUCGGAUGUGAAAUCCCCGGGCUCAACCUGGGAACUGCAUUCGAAACUGGCAGGCUACAGUCUUGUAGAGGUGGGUAGAAUUCCAGGUGUAGCGGUGAAAUGCGUAGAGAUCUGGAGGAAUACCGGUGGCGAAGGCGGCCCCCUGGACAAAGACUGACGCUCAGGUGCGAAAGCGUGGGGAGCAAACAGGAUUAGAUACCCGGGUAGUC
rnacentral:rRNA from 1 species